GCCGGCUAGGAACGAAUGAGCGCGCGCUCCUGAGAAAACUCGUCUAGCCUGUUAAGAGGGGGCGCGCGUGCGCGUGCGCGCUGUUUGGUGCUACCUAUUGCGGGAGCGCGCCGUGAGAGGAGGGGGAGCCGCAGAGCAUCUCUUUCACACGCGCGGCGGCAGCGGCUCCUCCUUUGUUCCCCCCCCCCAAACCGCUCUAGAGCUCUCGGGCCGCCUGGCUGGCGGGGGCCGGCACGAAUUGGAAUAGGUACUGGGAAGAGGCAGAGACCUCACAUCACUACAUGGGACUGAUGUUAUGAAUUAAUUGAUGCAUUGACAUUCCCAGGAUAUUAUUUUGAACGUCUCUGAAAAUGUCUACUCCUGAUCCUCCAAUGGGAGGGACACCUCGUCCCGGGCCUUCUCCUGGUCCUGGUCCUUCUCCUGGUGCUAUGCUGGGCCCUAGUCCUGGGCCAUCCCCAGGUUCUGCACAUAGUAUGAUGGGCCCCAGCCCAGGACCACCAUCAGCAGGGCACUCUAUACCACCACAAGGGCCUGGAGGUUAUACUCAGGAUAACAUGCAUCAGAUGCAUAAGCCAAUGGAUUCCAUGCAUGAAAAGGGAAUAUCUGAAGAUCCUCGUUACAGUCAAAUGAAGGGCAUGGGAAUGAGGGCUGGUGGGCACACAGGAAUGGGACCUCCACCAAGUCCAAUGGAUCAGCAUUCUCAAGGUUACCCUUCUCCACUUGGUGGUUCCGAGCAUGCAUCAAGUCCAGUUCCAGCUAAUGGCCCUUCUUCUGGCCCCCAGAUGCCAUCUGGCCCUGGUGGAGUCCCAUUAGAUGGUACUGACCCCCAAGCAUUAGGGCAGCAGAAUCGAGGCCCAACUCCUUUUAACCAGAAUCAGCUGCAUCAAUUGAGGGCUCAGAUCAUGGCCUACAAGAUGCUUGCCAGAGGGCAGCCAUUGCCCGACCAUCUUCACAUGGCUGUGCAGGGAAAAAGGCCAAUGCCUGGAAUGCAGCAGCAAAUGCCAACUCUACCUCCACCUUCUGUAUCUGGAACAGGACCAGUGCAAGGACCAGGGCCUGCACCUGGACCAACACCUCCGAACUACAACAGACCUCAUGGUAUGGGAGGGCCUAAUAUGCCCCCUCCUGGACCCUCAGGAGUUCCUCCAGGAAUGCCUGGGCAGCCCCCUGGUGGACCACCCAAGCCCUGGCCGGAAGGACCAAUGGCAAAUGCUGCAGCCCCUACUAGCACACCUCAGAAACUGAUUCCUCCUCAGCCAACAGGCCGUCCUUCACCAGCACCCCCAGCGGUACCUCCAGCAGCAUCCCCUGUCAUGCCUCCCCAAACUCAGUCACCCGGGCAACCAGCCCAACCUGCCCCAAUGGUGCAGUUCCAUCAGAAGCAGAACCGUAUCACUCCAAUCCAGAAACCAAGAGGACUUGAUCCAGUUGAAAUCCUUCAAGAGAGAGAAUACCGCUUGCAGGCUCGCAUUGCUCAUAGAAUCCAAGAACUUGAAAAUCUUCCUGGGUCCCUGGCUGGAGACCUGCGAACCAAAGCAACCAUUGAACUUAAAGCCCUACGACUGCUAAAUUUCCAGAGACAGCUGCGACAAGAAGUCGUGGUCUGUAUGAGAAGGGAUACUGCCCUGGAAACAGCACUGAAUGCUAAGGCAUAUAAGCGUAGCAAACGGCAAUCCUUACGGGAAGCUCGCAUCACUGAGAAGUUGGAGAAACAGCAAAAGAUUGAACAAGAAAGAAAACGCCGGCAAAAACAUCAGGAGUACCUCAACAGCAUUCUCCAGCAUGCCAAGGAUUUCAAAGAAUACCAUCGAUCAGUCACUGGCAAGAUUCAGAAGCUGACAAAAGCUGUGGCCACUUACCAUGCGAAUACAGAACGUGAACAAAAGAAGGAGAAUGAGAGAAUUGAGAAGGAGAGAAUGCGUCGGUUGAUGGCUGAGGAUGAAGAAGGAUACCGAAAACUUAUUGAUCAAAAGAAAGAUAAACGCUUAGCCUACCUGCUUCAGCAGACAGAUGAAUAUGUGGCCAACCUCACAGAACUGGUGAGACAGCACAAGGCUGCACAGGUGGCAAAGGAGAAGAAGAAGAAGAAGAAAAAGAAGAAGGCUGAGGUUGUGGAAGGACAGACUCCAGCAAUUGGACCUGAUGGUGAACCGUUAGAUGAAACCAGCCAAAUGAGUGACCUCCCUGUGAAAGUGAUUCAUGUCGAAAGUGGGAAAAUUCUUACUGGCACAGAUGCACCAAAGGCUGGACAGCUGGAUACCUGGUUAGAAAUGAAUCCUGGAUAUGAAGUAGCACCAAGAUCUGACAGCGAAGAAAGCGGAUCAGAGGAGGAAGAAGAGGAGGAAGAAGAAGAACAACCUCAGCCUGCUCAGUCUGCUCUGCCUGUAGAGGAGAAGAAAAAGAUUCCAGAUCCAGACAGUGAUGAUGUAUCAGAAGUGGAUGCAAGGCACAUUAUUGAGAAUGCCAAGCAAGAUGUUGAUGAUGAAUAUGGUGUGUCUCAGGCCCUGGCAAGGGGGUUGCAGUCUUACUAUGCUGUGGCUCAUGCAGUCACUGAAAGGGUGGACAAACAGUCAUCCCUCAUGGUGAACGGUGUCCUCAAACAGUAUCAGAUCAAAGGUUUAGAAUGGCUGGUAUCGUUGUACAAUAAUAAUCUCAAUGGCAUCCUGGCUGAUGAAAUGGGCCUGGGUAAGACAAUCCAGACCAUUGCUUUAAUUACAUACCUCAUGGAGCACAAACGAAUCAACGGACCCUUCCUCAUUAUAGUACCUCUGUCAACUCUAUCAAAUUGGGCCUAUGAAUUUGAUAAGUGGGCUCCUUCUGUGGUUAAAGUCUCAUAUAAGGGCUCUCCAGCUGCAAGACGGGCAUUUGUACCUCAGCUUCGAAGUGGAAAGUUUAAUGUUUUGCUUACUACAUAUGAAUACAUCAUCAAAGAUAAACACAUUCUUGCAAAAAUUCGUUGGAAGUACAUGAUUGUUGAUGAAGGUCACCGGAUGAAGAAUCACCAUUGCAAGCUAACCCAGGUUCUGAAUACACACUACGUAGCCCCACGUCGUUUGCUGCUGACAGGAACUCCACUACAAAAUAAGCUACCAGAAUUAUGGGCUCUGCUCAAUUUCCUCCUUCCAACUAUCUUCAAAAGUUGUAGCACAUUUGAACAGUGGUUUAAUGCUCCAUUUGCCAUGACUGGAGAAAAGGUGGAUUUGAAUGAGGAAGAAACUAUUUUAAUUAUCCGUCGUUUACACAAAGUUUUGCGCCCCUUCCUACUGAGAAGGUUAAAGAAGGAAGUAGAAGCACAGCUACCUGAAAAGGUAGAAUAUGUUAUUAAGUGUGAUAUGUCAGCAUUACAAAGAGUGCUUUAUAGGCACAUGCAAGCAAAGGGAGUGCUGCUUACAGAUGGAUCUGAGAAAGAUAAAAAGGGCAAAGGUGGUACAAAAACGCUCAUGAACACUAUUAUGCAACUGCGGAAGAUUUGCAACCAUCCAUAUAUGUUUCAGCAUAUAGAGGAGUCCUUUUCUGAGCACUUAGGCUUCACUGGAGGCAUUGUACAAGGUCUUGAUCUCUAUCGAGCUUCUGGGAAAUUUGAGCUUCUAGAUCGUAUUCUUCCCAAGUUGCGAGCUACCAACCACAAAGUAUUGCUCUUCUGUCAGAUGACCUCCCUCAUGACCAUAAUGGAAGAUUAUUUUGCCUACCGCGGAUUCAAAUACCUCAGGCUAGAUGGGACCACUAAGGCUGAAGAUCGUGGCAUGCUGCUGAAAACUUUCAAUGAGCCAGGCUCUGAAUAUUUCAUUUUUCUUCUGAGCACCCGAGCAGGGGGUUUGGGACUGAAUCUGCAGUCUGCUGAUACUGUGAUUAUUUUUGACAGUGAUUGGAAUCCUCACCAGGACCUGCAGGCACAGGAUCGAGCACAUCGCAUUGGGCAGCAAAAUGAAGUGCGAGUGCUGCGCCUGUGCACUGUAAACAGUGUGGAAGAGAAGAUACUUGCUGCAGCCAAGUACAAGCUGAAUGUUGAUCAGAAAGUGAUCCAGGCUGGAAUGUUCGACCAGAAAUCCUCCAGCCAUGAAAGGCGAGCUUUCCUGCAGGCUAUCUUAGAGCAUGAGGAGCAAGAUGAGACCAGAUACAGCACGGGCAGUGGCAGUGGCAGCGCAAGCUUUCCCCACACUGCCUCAACCCUGUGCCUCAACUCCGACUCGGAGGAGCCACCUUUAAAGGAAGAAGAUGAAGUUCCAGAUGAUGAAACAGUUAACCAAAUGAUUGCCCGACAUGAGGAAGAGUUUGAUCUUUUUAUGCGCAUGGAUUUGGAUCGCAGGCGAGAGGAGGCCCGCAAUCCUAAGCGAAAGCCGCGAUUGAUGGAAGAGGAUGAGUUGCCCUCUUGGAUAAUUAAAGAUGAUGCAGAAGUAGAAAGACUAACCUGUGAGGAGGAGGAAGAGAAGAUGUUUGGUAGAGGUUCCCGUCACCGUAAGGAAGUGGAUUAUAGUGAUUCCCUGACUGAGAAGCAAUGGCUCAAGCAUCUGCCCCCAUUGGCUGGGCAGGGAAUAUGCCUACUGUCUGGACUGCUACCUAUCAAACAAGUAGAAACAAAGAAGGUAAGACCAAGUUUUCUGUUUUAUGCCAUGUUUGAGGGUGGCAGGGAGAAAGAUAGCCUAGCCUUUUUUUGCUUCUACACAAAGAUAUGUCAAAAAGUAAAAUGUUUUAGCAAAGGAGAAUGGCGAUCCACACUUUACCACAGAAACAUAAAGUAAAAUCAGAAUGACCUGCCAAGCAAGGUUUUUGCCUCUACUUUUUUUAUUGCAGAUCUCUUCAUUAUUUUUUGGUGGAUCUAAUGUGUUCAUUUUUUUAUCUAAAAAUUGCACAAAGAUUAGCAAGUUAGAUAUAAAAAGUUAAUUAGGUGCUACUAUUAUGCUACUGUGUUUCCCCAAAAAUAAGACCCAGUCUUAUUUUCUUUUGGGCCCCAAAAUAAGCACCAGGUCUUAUUUAUUUCCGAGGGAUGUCUUACCUGCUUCCUUUAGGAUCACUGCAACCAGGCCUCCCAUGCCUUGACACCUGUUGUGCUGCUGCUCAACUUUUUCUGUGGCCGCUUGCAGCCAGACGCUGCAUGACUCAUCACACCAGCGCUGCCACUUGUGUAGGUGCAUUGUGAGUACAAGUGGUAGCACCGGCAUGACAUGCCACAUGGCGUCCUGCCACAAGUGCCGACAACAGCACGACGAGCCUCAUGGUGAUCCACCACAAGCGGCGGCACCGGCACAAUACACCAUAUGGUGUCUAGUCCCAAGUGGCCACAAGUGCCUGCAGAAGAAGUCAAGCAGCAGCUCAGUAGGUGUUGGGGCAUGGGAGGCCUGGCUGCAGUGGUCCUAAGGUAAGUGGGUGCGGAAUGCAUGGGGCAGCUCCACCCCCACACACCCACUCUAGCUUGAUUUUUACGCAUGUACCUCAUCCCACCUCGUACAAAUAGAUGGUGGGUAGGGCUUAAGUAGGGCUUAUUUUGGGGGUAGGGCUUGUAUUAGGCACAGAUGUAAAAAUCGGGCUAGGGCUUGUUUUAGGGGUAGGUCAUAUUUUCAGGGAAGCACAGUAUGUAGAGUAAUAAAAGUUUUUUUUUAAAGAAACAAGACACUUUCCACAAAUCAGUAAAACUUUUAAAAAAGAUUAGGGGAACUGUAAAUCUCUGAGUAACAUUGUGACUUUCCUCUAAGAAAAAAACAGCUAAUAAGAUCUGUAGCUAAGAGGAACAAAAGCAUUUCCCAUAACUGUAUUGAAUCAUUACAUAGGUUUUGCUGGGAGGAUAACAACAAUUGCCAUAACAGAAAACAAGAAGCUAAUCAUUUUGUAGGAGGAAAAUUAUUCAGCUUGGUUUAUUAUAUAAUGGAGCUGUGUGCCUAAAUUUCCCUUUCUCCAGUUCUGUUUCGUGUACCAGUGAUGGUCCACACCACGUUAAAUCAAGAGCCUUGGCUUCUCUCUGCAAUUUGGCAAAUGCUGGCUGGGAAAAGGGGGUUCAAACAUUUGAAUGGGGUGUUGCGAGAAGGAUCCACAAAGCAAAUUCAGUGAUGGCACUCAUCUCUAGCAAGGGCCUUGCUAACAGAUUGAUAGCUCCCAUACCUACUUUUUAUACAUUAUAUGAAUUGCAUGGUCUAAACCUCCUUUAUAGCUUUUCCUUUUCUUUUAGCCCUGAGAAUUCCUGCUUGCAAUAGUAUUCAGCAACUUUGAAUAGCGAGCUAUGAAUUCAAAGAGAAUUGUGUUCCCAAAUGGACACAAUUUGGUGCCUCCUGGGUUUCAGACUACACUUUCUACAAAUUUUUGCCAUUGGAGAGGCUAGCUAUUAAUCAAAAAUAUCAAGAAGGUACCUGCCUGCCUCAUUAACAAUAGAGAAUUGCAAGUGAAAUUAGUUCUGCUUCAAAACAGAAGGAAGCUUUUGUUAUAUGACAGUCAUGAGGAGGUUCUAGUUCUGUCCUACAGAGUUUUUUUUUAGUCCCCAGCAAAUUUUUACUGGUUUUCUGUUACCCUUAUAUACCUGGAGCCUUUAAAAGUAUAUGGCACCUUCUAUAGGCCCAAGCAGCAUCCUCGGGAGUACAGGACACUUCUCAAUAUUCCAGUAUAGCUCCAGCCUAUUUAUAUUUUAUUUCAGCCUAUGCUAGAACAGCAUAGCCAAUGGCACCAACAGUAUUUCACAUCUUACAACUUUUCCAGAUAUCCACAAAUUAGUCACUAAUAGACACAGAGACAGCAGGACAAAAUGGAAGCUACAAUUGUUCAUAGUUCCUUGAUUAAUUACAUCCCAUUCUCCUUUCUCUGGAGGAGGUUUUGGCUGAGCCAAGGGGUGAAAUGCUGGGACAUUGGAUGGAACGAAUGGAUGGAACUAAAUAUCAUGUAAGACAGAAAGAGCCUUGCCCAUUCUUUAUUUUUGUUUCAGUUGUGAGAGAAACAGUGACAAGAAGUUCUGUGUGUGUCAGGUAUCUGCACUGCUCUUUGUAUUAGCCAAUGCAUAUGUUACUUGUAGUUUAAUGAAAGGGACUUGUUCUGUUAAUUCACGUAUAAAUUCACGUUCUUACUGUUUUGAGGAAUUGAAUAAGUCAGAGAUGUUGUACCUGUCUCCCAGAAAACACCCCAUGGUUGCACAUGUGUGUUGCCUUGUUGCAGGGAGGGUGGCUGAUGCUAGAUGCAGUGAAAAGGGACCCUGGCUAUUAUUUCCGUUUCUGUUCUCUUUGAUCCCUCCAAACAAUAGCAUAAUUAAAUAGAUUGCUUCCCUUGUUUGAAGCUGCCAAGAAUAGCUCAUUAAUAUAUUGAGUCUAGUAUUAUAUAUUUGUCUACCAAUGAUUCUCUGCUAGCCGUAUAUGUUUCUUAGGCAAAAAGAAGUUUAGGUCUUGAAGAACCCUGUAAUAUAUCCCACUAUCCAAGAUCAGAAGAUCAGAGGUGUCACCUAUCCAUUAAAAAGUGAGGUUUUAGUCAUAAAUUGAAUGAGCCUUGAGUUUAAAACCCAGAUGUUCAAAACCUAUUUGGAGAUAUAUAUCUUAAUUAAUUAAACUAUCAUUCCUUUUCCCAGAUCUAUUUUCAGUAUGCCAUAAUUCUCUAUAGGUUAAUUAACCAGUUUUCUGUUAGGGUCUGAACUAGCAGAUUAUGGAUAGAACAGGAGCCAAACAAUUAUUUCAAAGAAAAAGUGUAGGUAGUAUAAAACUAGUGGUGGGAUUAAGUGCUUCCUUCUCCCAGGCUCUUAGAAGUUUGAUGCCACCAAUUAAGAAUUUUAAGCAGUUAAUGCUUUUUAUUUCUAUUUUGCAAUAUUAAAGAAUGGUCUCCUUGAGUUCAAUCUUUUUCAUAAGGUACAUCUCUCAUAAGAGGUCCUGCAAAGCCAUUUGAGGUCAAGAACUCUGUUUGCUUUAGUUAUCAAGUAAGGAACAAAUAUUGAACAAACCAGAACCAUGCUGGCAGGCCAUUCUUCACGUAAAGACUUUCCAUGAUUUUCUGACAUUACAGAGCUGUCGUAGUUUCAACUCUUAGGUUCCUUUGCUCUGACUGUUGAGUAAGUGAGAUCCUGUAGCCAUGUAUGACAAUAAAAAUGAAAGAUGGGUAGUUUUACUUCUGAGUUUUCCUACUUCUGUUAUACAUGGCCUUCAGUCAACUUGCUUCUUUUCCUCUCUUACUGUGCAAUCUGAAGCAUAAAAAUUUAUGGCUAACGGGUGGUUAGUAGCCUCAGGUCUCCUUGCUGCUUUGGAAGAAAUUGCAACAGAACUGGCAGGAAGGGGCAUCCCCACAACCUGCUCUGCAUGGUUUCUACAGAGUCUUCUGCCUGUUGGCCCUGUUUAACAUGAGAAGAAAAGCUUGUAGGCCAUAGAAGAGGGUACCCUAGAGGAGAUCGAAGAGGAGGUGCGUCAGAAGAAAUCCUCCCGCAAGCGCAAGAGAGAUGUGGAUGUCAGUUCCUCCACCCCGACCACCAGCACUCGGAGCCGGGACAAAGAUGAUG